rnacentral:lncRNA from 1 species
CCAUGUCCAUAUCAAACACAUAAAUUUAAUUAUCUAAUUUCCCCUAUUAACACGACUCGGACUCGGACGGAUACAUGGAUCCAACCAACACACCAGUUUGGCACCCAGUGCCUCAUGGGAUAAAUCCAAAGUAAUAUCUACGCCCAACGCUAUAUAAGUUGACGCCCAGUGUCUCAUCGGUUAAAUCGAAGUAAAUUGGCACUUAGUGCCUCAUCGACUCGAGGUUAAAGAAAUCCCUGAACUCUUCCUAUCCUAUGGCAUGCCAUCUAUAUCCGGCUUAGCCUGAAAUAGUUGAUAGGGUUCCAUUUCACCU